rnacentral:rRNA from 1 species
UUUUAUCAGAGAGUUUGAUCCUGGCUCAGGAUGAACGCUGGCGGCGUGCUUAACACAUGCAAGUCGAACGGGAAUUACUUUAUUGAAACUUCGGUCGAUUUAAUUUAAUUCUAGUGGCGGACGGGUGAGUAACGCGUGGGUAACCUGCCUUAUACAGGGGGAUAACAGUCAGAAAUGGCUGCUAAUACCGCAUAAGCGCACAGAGCUGCAUGGCUCAGUGUGAAAAACUCCGGUGGUAUAAGAUGGACCCGCGUUGGAUUAGCU